rnacentral:rRNA from 1 species
GUCUACAGCCAUACUACCCUGUUGGCACCCUACCUCAUCUGAUCUCAGAAGCUAAACAGGGUGGGGCUUGGUUAGUACUUGGAUGGGAGAAAUAUCUGACAAACAUCAGAUUCUAAUACU